UCCAUCUACGCGGAAUGUCCAGAAUAGGCAAAUACAGAGACAGAGAGUAUAUUAUUAGUAAGAGUUGCCUAAGGAUAGAGUGGUUUAGGGUGACAGCCAAAAGAACUCUGGAUCCAGUUAAUAGCAAAGAGGGAAAAAGCAGCAGCAUUUCAAACGUCCAUACUCUGAUUUCUAAAAGACACCAUGUAGAUCAUCAUCAUUGUAAAGAGGCAAGCUGGUCACCAUCCAUCCAGUGCAUAAUUUAAUUGCACCCAUUAACUGUGGACUUCCUGCAAACACAGCUGCAACCGGAGCUUGCCUUCUGCAAAGAAGCACACAGAUUUACACACUGAAAAGACUACGCUGACUAUACUGAAUGAUAAAUUUCAAAGUCAGAAACACCUCACUCAGGCCAUCAGCAGAUACAGGGAUUUUCCAGCACCCUGAAUAAGAGAAUGUAAGAGAAGAAUACCAGCUGCAAGGCUCAGAAGAGCUCAGCACUGAUAGAACAUAGAAGCUUCUGCUCUUCUGAUCACCACAGCUAUAAGAAAAAGUGUUCCGGCAACUUCUAACGUGGAACAACCAGAACUGUAAUAAUAAGGCCUGAAACCAUCAUCCCCAGAGAAACCAGUUCCAGAAAUCAAUGAAGGCUCAGAUCUAGAUCCAGCCUAUUUAAUCUACUGGACACGUGGAUAUUACUUCAAGGAUACUAGGAAAAAGCUAUAAUAUAAUGAAGCAAAUUGCUAAUUCCAAGGGUUUAUUCUCAAACUACUCUAAAGAACAUGCAGUGAAAUGAGAUAGAAAUAUAUAUUAAACAUAAUCUGGGCAAUUAGCUAUGUUUCUCCUUUCUCUGAACAUUUUCAAAAUUCUGUGCACUCUUAUCUACCCCCUUACCUUGCACAUUUCAUGUUCAACUAUGCCUUUACUGUGAACUAUUUUAUACAUAUUACUUGACACAUUAAAUGCAUUUCAGUAAUCAACCACAGAUGUCUCUAGAUGGCUUCAGAUAUUUGCACAAAAGA